rnacentral:rRNA from 1 species
UUUUAUUGAGAGUUUGAUCCUGGCUCAGGACGAACGCUGGCGGCGUGCUUAACACAUGCAAGUCGAACG